UACAGAGGGGGCAAGCGUUGUUCGGAAUUACUGGGCGUAAAGGGCGCGUAGGCGGUACUUCAAGUCAGGCGUGAAAGCCCCGGGCUCAACCUGGGAACCGCGCUUGAGACUGGAGAACUAGAGUUCGGAAGAGGAGAGUGGAAUUCCUGGUGUAGCGGUGAAAUGCGCAGAUAUCAGGAAGAACACCCGUGGCGAAGGCGGCUCUCUGGGACGGUACUGACGCUGAGACGCGAAAGCGUGGGGAGCGAACAGG
rnacentral:rRNA from 1 species